AUUGAACGCUGGCGGCAGGCCUAACACAUGCAAGUCGAACGAGUGGCGGACGGGUGAGUAAUGUCUGGUAAACUGCCCGAUGGGGGGGGAUAACUACUGGAAACGGUAGCCAAUACCCCCUACCAUCAGAUUUGCCCAGAUGGGAUUAGCUAGUUGGUGGGGUAACGGCUCACCAAGGCGACGAUCCCUAGCUGGUCUGAGAGGAUGACCAGCCACACUGGAACUGGGACACGGUCAAGCCUCCUAGGGGAGGCAUCAUUGGGGAAUAUUGCACAAUGGGCGCAAGCCUGAUGCAGCCAUGCCGGGUGUAUGAAGCAGGCCUUCGGGUUGUAAAGUACUUUCAGCGGGGAGGCGUUACCCGCAGAAGAAGCAACGGCUAACUCCGUGCCAGCAGCCGCGGUAAUUC
rnacentral:rRNA from 1 species